CCUACGGGUGGCAGCAGUGAGGAAUAUUGGUCAAUGGGCGGAAGCCUGAACCAGCCAAGUAGCGUGCGGGAUGACGGCCCUACGGAUUGUAAACUGCUUUUAUACGGGAAUAACGCGCCUUACGUGUAGGGGUUUGCAUGUACCUGAUGAAUAAGGACCGGCUAAUUCCGUGCCAGCAGCCGCGGUAAUACGGAAGGUCCGGGCGUUAUCCGGAUUUAUUGGGUUUAAAGGGAGCGUAGGCCGCAUGUCAAGCGUGCGGUGAAAUGGCCGGGCUCAACCCGGGCCUCGCAGGGCGAACUGGCGGGCUUGAGUUGGCGGAAAGUAGGCGGAAUUCGUGGUGUAGCGGUGAAAUGCUUAGAUAUGGCGAAGAACCCCGAUUGCGAAGGCAGCUUGCUGCAGCGGAACUGACGCUGAGGCUCGAAAGCGUGGGUAUCGAACAGGAUUAGAUACCCGAGUAGUC
rnacentral:rRNA from 1 species